UGAACCGAUUAAAACAACUAUCAGGUAGU
rnacentral:sRNA from 1 species